UACAAUGUUGCUACUUACAGGAACGUCA
rnacentral:sRNA from 1 species